UACGUAGGGUGCGAGCGUUGUCCGGAUUUAUUGGGCGUAAAGAGCUCGUAGGCGGCUUGUCGCGUCGACUGUGAAAACCCGCGGCUCAACCGCGGGCUUGCAGUCGAUACGGGCAGGCUAGAGUUUGGUAGGGGAGACUGGAAUUCCUGGUGUAGCGGUGAAAUGCGCAGAUAUCGUCAAGAACACCUAUAGCGAAGGCAGCUUACUAGGCUGUAACUGACGCUGAGGCACGAAAGUGUGGGGAUCAAACAGG
rnacentral:rRNA from 1 species